rnacentral:rRNA from 1 species
UACACUCCUGCGGGAGGCAGCAGUGGGGAAUUUUGGACAAUGGGCGAAAGCCUGAUCCAGCCAUGCCGCGUGCAGGAUGAAGGCCUUCGGGUUGUAAACUGCUUUUGUACGGAACGAAACGGCCUUUUCUAAUAAAGAGGGCUAAUGACGGUACCGUAAGAAUAAGCACCGGCUAACUACGUGCCAGCAGCCGCGGUAAUACGUAGGGUGCAAGCGUUAAUCGGAAUUACUGGGCGUAAAGCGUGCGCAGGCGGUUAUGUAAGACAGUUGUGAAAUCCCCGGGCUCAACCUGGGAACUGCAUCUGUGACUGCAUAGCUAGAGUACGGUAGAGGGGGAUGGAAUUCCGCGUGUAGCAGUGAAAUGCGUAGAUAUGCGGAGGAACACCGAUGGCGAAGGCAAUCCCCUGGACCUGUACUGACGCUCAUGCACGAAAGCGUGGGGAGCAAACAGGAUUAGAAACCCUGGUAGUCCCAUGAU